CCUACGGGUGGCAGCAGUGAUGAAUAUUGGUCAAUGGGCGCGAGCCUGAACCAGCCAAGUAGCGUGAAGGAUGACUGCCCUACGGGUUGUAAACUUCUUUUAUAAAGGAAUAAAGUGAGGCACGUGUGCCUUUUUGUAUGUACUUUAUGAAUAAGGAUCGGCUAACUCCGUGCCAGCAGCCGCGGUAAUACGGAGGAUCCGAGCGUUAUCCGGAUUUAUUGGGUUUAAAGGGAGCGUAGGUGGGUUGUUAAGUCAGUUGUGAAAGUUUGCGGCUCAACCGUAAAAUUGCAAUUGAUACUGUCUGACUAGAGUGUAGUUGCGGAAGGCGGAAUGUGUGGUGUAGCGGUGAAAUGCUUAGAUAUCACACAGAACACCGAUUGCGAAGGCAGCUUUCCAAGCUAUUACUGACGCUGAGGCACGAAGGCCAGGGGAGCGAAAGGGAUUAGAUACCCCAGUAGUC
rnacentral:rRNA from 1 species